CGUGGGGGCAGCUAUACUGCAAGUCGAGCGGUCCCUUCGGGGGCAGCGGCGGACGGGUGAGUAACGCGUGGGAACGUGCCCUUUGGUACGGAACAACUGAGGGAAACUUCAGCUAAUACCGUAUGUGCCCUUCGGGGGAAAGAUUUAUCGCCAUUGGAGCGGCCCGCGUUGGAUUAGGUAGUUGGUGAGGUAAAGGCUCACCAAGCCGACGAUCCAUAGCUGGUCUGAGAGGAUGAUCAGCCACACUGGGACUGAGACACGGCCCAGACUCCUACGGGAGGCAGCAGUAGGGAAUCUUGCGCAAUGGGCGAAAGCCUGACGCAGCCAUGCCGCGUGAAUGAUGAAGGUCUUAGGAUUGUAAAAUUCUUUCACCGGGGACGAUAAUGACGGUACCCGGAGAAGAAGCCCCGGCUAACUUCGUGCCAGCAGCCGCGGUAAUACGAAGGGGGCUAGCGUUGCUCGGAAUUACUGGGCGUAAAGGGAGCGUAGGCGGAUAGUUUAGUCAGAGGUGAAAGCCCAGGGCUCAACCUUGGAAUUGCCUUUGAUACUGGCUAUCUUGAGUAUGGAAGAGGUAUGUGGAACUCCGAGUGUAGAGGUGAAAUUCGUAGAUAUUCGGAAGAACACCAGUGGCGAAGGCGACAUACUGGUCCAUUACUGACGCUGAGGCUCGAAAGCGUGGGGAGCAAACACGAUUAGAUACCCUGGUAGUCCACGCCGUAGACGAUGAGUGCUAGUUGUCGGCAUGCAUGCAUGUCGGUGACGCAGCUAACGCAUUAAGCACUCCGCCUGGGGAGUACGGUCGCAAGAUUAAAACUCAUAGGAAUUGACGGGG
rnacentral:rRNA from 1 species